AGGGUUUGAUCCUGGCUCAGGAUGAACGCUGGCGGCGUGCCUAACACAUGCAAGUCGAACGUGAGAGCUUAGCAAUAGGCUUGAAAGUGGCGAACGGGUGAGUAACACGUAGGUAACCUGCCGCGCAGAGGGGGAUAACCACUGGAAACGGUGGCUAAUACCGCAUGGUACUAUCGAGGGGGGACCCUGGAUGGUUAAAACCUUGGUGCUGCGCGAGGGGCCUGCGUCCGAUUAGUUAGUUGGUGAGGUAAUGGCUCACCAAGGCGAUGAUCGGUAGCUGGUCUGAGAGGAUGAUCAGUCACACGGGAACUGAGACACGGUCCCGACUCCUACGGGGGGCAGCAGUGAGGAAUAUUGCACAAUGGACGCAAGUCUGAUGCAGCAACGCCGCGUGGAGGAUGACGGCCCUUGGGUUGUAAACUCCUUUUUUCAGGGAAGAGCAAGGACGGUACCUGAAGAAUAAGUCACGGCUAACUACGUGCCAGCAGCCGCGGUAAUACGUAGGUGGCAAGCGUUAUCCGGAAUUACUGGGCGUAAAGCGCACGCAGGCGGCUAGUCAAGUUCGACGUGAAAGCUCCCGGCUUAACUGGGAGAGGUCGUUGAAAACUGGUUAGCUUGAGGCAAUGAGAGGGGUGUAGAAUUCCCGGUGUAGUGGUGGAAUGCGUAGAUAUCGGGAGGAAUACCAGUGGCGAAAGCGGCACCCUAGCGUUAGCCUGACGCUCAUGUGCGAAAGCGUGGGGAGCGAACGGGAUUAGAUACCCCGGUAGUCCACGCCGUAAACGAUGAACACUAGGUGUAGGUGGUGUGAAAGCUAUCUGU
rnacentral:rRNA from 1 species